CUUUCCCAACUCAUUUCCCCUUUCCUUUACGUGUUGUUUUCAUUCUUCUCCUCUUCGCCUAAUCGAUCUUGUUUACAGGUUUCAGCCGAUGACAUCGUCAUCAGUCAGUCAUCUUCAAUUUCCACCCAAACCCUUUUAACCUUCCCUUUUCAAGUGUCUUAAAUUUAAACUUUUCCCAAAUCACCUAUUCGAGUCGUCGAUCGCUACCGCCGCUCUAAUCCCUCUCCAGACCCAAGUAAUUUGACAAUUUCAUAGAUGCACCCAUGAUUAGUACUCCACGUUUACCUCCAACGUAUGGAAGGUUUCUACAUUUAAUGAUCCAAUGAAGGCUUUUGGUUUGUUGAAUUGCUAUUCCUUUUUAUUUCAUACGAACCAAUCACAUCUAAAGCCUACAAUUUUGCUGCCAAAGGUCGAGAGACUUCACAUUGGAUGGUAAGAACAAAUAAUAGUAAUUCUUCAUAUCCUGUCAUUUUAAUGUGCACAAGUUCUUGCAUCCUCUUGUAUAUGGUGAAUAUCUAAAAACGAUGCAGAAUAUUGUUCCGAAAAAGGCAACCAGAGGUUAAGACGGUAAAUGAUCCUUUGAUUUCGUGUGCAUAAAUCAGUACUCCAGUUAUAAUAUGGAACCACAUCGAGAUAAGACAAAGCCCCUUGGCUACCAGUAGGAUUGGGAAGUUGGAUUUCCUUGUAAGAUACUCUCGUGCUUUUGUUUUUGACAUUGGAAUAAAUAUUUACAUAUACUGUAUAAUAUUAGCUUGUCCGUUGCCUCUCCAGAUGCUCGUCAUGUAGUGCCCGCAGUCAUUUCGAGGGUAACUUAGCUCAAACUAUAUAUUCUACAAAACUGAGUCAAACUUUUAUUAAGUACAUUUUGUUGAUAAAAAUGUCACUAUGAAUUAGUUAUAAUUAGGUAGUGUAUGAUUUGACCUAUAUUGUACCGUGGAGUCUGGACAUAGCUAUUAACUAUGUUAAAGAGGGCUUUCGAAGUCCUACCAUGAUUUUUGCUGAGAAUGGUGCAUUUUGUAUUAGAUAUUUAUUCGAGUUAUGUGUUAAGGUGAAAAUUUAUAAAAAAUACUAAAUCACGUUCAUAUGACUAUCAGGAAUGGAUGAUCCAGGGAAUUUAACUCUUAAGGCUUUGAUACCACAAAAAUCAACUACUACAAGAGCUAUUUAGCAGAAUUGAUGAAAACAAUCAUUGAGGAAGCCAACGUGAUCAGGUACUUCCGAUGGACAUUGCUCGAUAAUUUCGAAUGGAGACUCUUUUGCUCUUUUUUUUUUUUUCCUUUUUUUUUGUAUAGAAAAAUACUAUGCUUUUUAUUGAUUGGGUGAUACAAA
rnacentral:lncRNA from 1 species